GACCAAAGUGGGGGACCUUCGGGCCUCAUGCCAUCAGAUGUGCCCAGAUGGGAUUAGCUAGUAGGUGGGGUAACGGCUCACCUAGGCGACGAUCCCUAGCUGGUCUGAGAGGAUGACCAGCCACACUGGAACUGAGACACGGUCCAGACUCCUACGGGAGGCAGCAGUGGGGAAUAUUGCACAAUGGGCGCAAGCCUGAUGCAGCCAUGCCGCGUGUGUGAAGAAGGCCUUCGGGUUGUAAAGCACUUUCAGCGGGGAGGAAGGCGGUGAGGUUAAUAACCUCAUCGAUUGACGUUACCCGCAGAAGAAGCACCGGCUAACUCCGUGCCAGCAGCCGCGGUAAUACGGAGGGUGCA
rnacentral:rRNA from 1 species